rnacentral:rRNA from 1 species
UACGGAGGUCCCAAGCGUUGUUCGGAUUCACUGGGCGUAAAGGGUGCGUAGGCGGCUUGGUAAGUUUGAUGUGAAAUCUCCGGGCUUAACCCGGAAAUGGCAUUGAAUACUAUUGAGCUGGAGGUUUGGAGGGGGGACUGGAAUUCUCGGUGUAGCAGUGAAAUGCGUAGAUAUCGAGAGGAACACCAGUGGCGAAGGCGAGUCCCUGGACAACAACUGACACUGAGGCACGAAAGCGAGGGGAGCAAACAGG